GAUGAACGCUAGCUACAGGCUUAACACAUGCAAGUCGCGGGGCAGCAUGGGGGUUGCUUGCAAUCCCCGAUGGCGACCGGCGCACGGGUGAGUAACGCGUAUCCAACCUGCCCUUCACCACGGGAUAACUCGGCGAAAGUCGGACUAAUACCGUAUGUUGUCCAUUGACGGCAUCCGAUUUGGACGAAAGGUUUGGCGGUGAAGGAUGGGGAUGCGUCCGAUUAGCUGGACGGCGGGGUGACGGCCCACCGUGGCGACGAUCGGUAGGGGUUCUGAGAGGAAGGUCCCCCACACUGGAACUGAGACACGGUCCAGACUCCUACGGGAGGCAGCAGUGAGGAAUAUUGGUCAAUGGGCGUAAGCCUGAACCAGCCAAGUAGCGUGCAGGAUGACGGCCCUAUGGGUUGUAAACUGCUUUUAUGCGGGGAUAAAGUGGCCCACGUGUGGGUUUUUGCAGGUACCGCAUGAAUAAGGACCGGCUAAUUCCGUG
rnacentral:rRNA from 1 species